rnacentral:tRNA from 1 species
AUUUUAUUAAUAUAAAUAGUAUAUUUGAUUUCCAAUCAAAAAGUUUAAAACUUAAAUAAAAUA